UACGGAGGGGGCUAGCGUUGUUCGGAAUUACUGGGCGUAAAGCGCACGUAGGCGGAUCAGUCAGUUAGGGGUGAAAGCCCAGGGCUCAACCCUGGAACUGCCUUUAAUACUGCUGGUCUGGAGGUCGAGAGAGGUGAGUGGAAUUCCGAGUGUAGAGGUGAAAUUCGUAGAUAUUCGCAAGAACACCAGUGGCGAAGGCGGCUCACUGGCCCGAUACUGACGCUGAGGCACGAAAGCGUGGGGAGCAAACAGG
rnacentral:rRNA from 1 species